rnacentral:rRNA from 1 species
UACGGAGGGUGCAAGCGUUAAUCGGAAUUACUGGGCGUAAAGCGUGCGCAGGCGGUUGUGUAAGACAGAUGUGAAAUCCCCGGGCUCAACCUGGGAACUGCAUUUGUGACUGCACAGCUGGAGUGCGGCAGAGGGGGAUGGAAUUCCGCGUGUAGCAGUGAAAUGCGUAGAUAUGCGGAGGAACACCGAUGGCGAAGGCAAUCCCCUGGGCCUGCACUGACGCUCAUGCACGAAAGCGUGGGGAGCAAACAGG